GUGAAUCAUCGAAUCUUUGAACGCAAAUUGCACUCUCCGGUUUUCCGGGAGAGUAUGCCUGUUUGAGGGUCAGCCUAAAAAAAAUCGACAUAGUCGCUGUUUCGCGGUGACAUUCGUCGGAAAUUGGGUCAUCUUAAACCUUUGGGUUUUAAGCGGCUUAAAAUUUUCUUUACGAUUCUACGAACGUUUCUAAGAUUUACUUACAGUUUAAGGUUAUGGUUUUUUUUUAGAGUGGCCCUUGGCU
rnacentral:misc_RNA from 1 species